GUGGGUGUGUGUGUGUGUGUGUGUGUCUGUAAUUAUAUAUAUACACACACACACACACACACA
rnacentral:miRNA from 1 species